UGUGGUUAGUGCACAGGUAGGAGCUGCUAUAGAGCAGAGGCGGGGGCAUUUACCCAGGAAGGCUUCCUGGAGCAGGUGGUGUAUUAGUCUAGUCUUGAAGAACAGAGAGGUACGCAAUCUGGAUCUGAGAUGGGGCAGCCCAGCUGACAAUGGACCUAGCGGGAGGACUCCAAUUUGUCCAUCUGUGAGGCAGCCCAUCUAACAGGUUUAAUUUUGCCAGCUCAACAGGCGAGGGAGAGGACUACAGCUGCCCUUAACUCUCUUUAUCUGGUAUUUUCAUCACUCUUCACCCCGUGUUUUCUGUGCCUGCCUUGAGGGGAAAGCAGCUUUAUAAAUAUGCCAGCAAACUGCUAAUGAAGGACUUCCACAAUUAAGCUGCUUUUGUGUCCAUUGAUGCCCUUUCCUUCUAUUAAGCACCUGCUGUGUGCAAGGCACUGGGGAACAUAUAAACAGA